rnacentral:tRNA from 1 species
CAUUAGAUAGCUAAAAGUUAGCAAUGGAAUUUUAAACCAUUAAAUAGUAAUUUAACGCUUACUUCUAAUG